AGUGAACGCUGGCGGUAGGCCUAACACAUGCAAGUCGAACGGCAGCACAGUAAGAGCUUGCUCUUACGGGUGGCGAGUGGCGGACGGGUGAGGAAUACAUCGGAAUCUACUUUUUCGUGGGGGAUAACGUAGGGAAACUUACGCUAAUACCGCAUACGACCUACGGGUGAAAGCAGGGGAUCUUCGGACCUUGCGCGAUUGAAUGAGCCGAUGUCGGAUUAGCUAGUUGGCGGGGUAAAGGCCCACCAAGGCGACGAUCCGUAGCUGGCCUGAGAGGAUGAUCAGCCACACUGGAACUGAGACACGGUCCAGACUCCGACGGGAGGCAGCAGUGGGGAAUAUUGGACAAGGGGCGCAAGCCUGAUCCAGCCAUACCGCGUGGGUGAAGAAGGCCUUCGGGUUGUAAAGCCCUUUUGUUGGGAAAGAAAAGCAGCAGGUUAAUACCCCGCUGUUCUGACGGUACCCAAAGAAUAAGCACCGGCUAACUUCGUG
rnacentral:rRNA from 1 species